rnacentral:rRNA from 1 species
CGCUGGCGGCAUGCCUAACACAUGCAAGUCGAACGAGACCUUCGGGUCUAGUGGCGCACGGGUGCGUAACGCGUGGGAACCUGCCUUUAGGUUCGGAAUAACUCAGAGAAAUUUGAGCUAAUACCGGAUAAUGUCUUCGGACCAAAGAUUUAUCGCCUUUAGAUGGGCCGCGUUGGAUUAGCUAGUUGGUGGGGUAAAGGCCUACCAAGGCGACGAUCCAUAGCUGGUCUGAGAGGAUGAUCAGCCACACUGGGACUGAGACACGGCCCAGACUCCUACGGGAGGCAGCAGUGGGGAAUAUUGGACAAUGGGCGAAAGCCUGAUCCAGCAAUGCCGCGUGAGUGAUGAAGGCCUUAGGGUUGUAAAGCUCUUUUACCAGGGAUGAUAAUGACAGUACCUGGAGAAUAAGCUCCGGCUAACUCCGUG